GUGGUUAUUGCUCAAGAGGUAGAGUGCAUACUUAGCACGCAUGAGGUCCUGGGUUCAAUCCUCAGUACCUCCA
rfam:Camelus ferus unplaced genomic scaffold scaffold886, whole genome shotgun sequence.